CCUUGAGGCCUCCCUCCAGAACAUCCACUGCUGCGAACAUCUGCUUCAUCGCCUCGGCCCUCUCCUCGUCCGUCUUGACCCUGAACACCUGAUCCCAUGGGGCAACCAGCUGCGUGCGCUCAUGUCAUCAGCAUGUAAAUUCUAAGGAAUUUUGAAAUUCAAAGCAGAGAUAAGAUCUGGGGUUGUUUGAGAUUAAGGUAAAAGACCUUUUCUUCAAUGUAGGCAGCCCAGAAGCGAGCAACGGCGCGUUCAUAGGGGUCAGCCGGGAGGAGGGAUGGACCAUUGCCGACGAAGGUUUCGUCGAUGUACUGCACGA
rnacentral:lncRNA from 1 species